rnacentral:tRNA from 1 species
GGAAGGAUAGCGAAGUGGUCAAACGCGGCAGACUGUAAAUCUGUUCCUUAGGGUUCCAUAGUUCAAAUCUAUGUCCUUCCA